GUCGGCGUGGGCGAACUGGCAGAUUUGGCGGGGCUCUCCGAAAGCUGGUUCAGCCGCGCGUUCAAGCAAACCUCGGGUCUGUCGCCCCAACGCUGGAUCGCCGAGUGUCGCGUCGUCGCCGCCA
rnacentral:tRNA from 1 species